UGCAUGUAGCUCAGUAAUUUUUCCAUCGA
rnacentral:piRNA from 1 species